GAAGACGGCCAUAGUAAUUAGGUCACACCUGAUCCCUUUCCGAACUCAGAAGUUAAGCCAAUUACGCCGUUUGUGUUAGUGUCCGUCAAGACGCGAAGCAAUGGUGCUGUCUUCG
rnacentral:rRNA from 1 species